rnacentral:rRNA from 1 species
AUUGAACGCUGGCGGCAUGCCUAACACAUGCAAGUCGAACGAGGUGUAGCAAUACACUUAGUGGCGGACGGGUGAGGAACACAUAGGAAUCUGCCUCAGAGCGGGGGAUAGCCCAGGGAAACUUGGAGUAAUACCGCAUGAUGUCGAAAGACCAAAGCAGGGGACCGUAAGGCCUUGCACUCUGAGAGGAGCCUAUGUCUGAUUAGCUAGUUGGCGGGGUAAUGGCCCACCAAGGCGACGAUCAGUAACUGGUCUGAGAGGACGAUCAGUCACACCGGAAACUGAGACACGGUCCGGACUCCUACGGGAGGCAGCAGUGGGGAAUAUUGGACAAUGGGCGAAAGCCUGAUCCAGCAAUGCCGCGUGUGUGAAGAAGGCCUCGGGUUGUAAAGCACUUUAGCCAGGAAAGAAAAGCUUGACCUAAUACGUCAAGCCUUGACGGUACCUGGAGAAUAAGCACCGGCUAACUCUGUGCCAGCAGCCGCGGUAAUACAGAGGGUGCAAGCGUUAAUCGGAUUUACUGGGCGUAAAGCGUGUGUAGGGUGGCCGUUCAAGUCGGUUGUGAAAGCCCC